rnacentral:tRNA from 1 species
GCGGGAAUAGCUCAAAAGUAGAGCGUCAGUCUUCCAGGCUGAAGGUUGCAGGUUCAAACCCUGCUUCCCGCU